rnacentral:rRNA from 1 species
CUCCGGUUGAUCCCGCCGGACCUGACUGCUAUCGGAUUGGUACUAAGCCAUGCGAGUCAUUGUAGCAAUACAAGGCGGACGGCUCAGUAACACGUAGUCAACCUAACUCGUGGACGUGGAUAACCUCGGGAAACUGAGAAUAAACCACGAUAGAUCAUAGUGCCUGGAAUGGCUUAUGGUCCAAACAGUUUACUGCCAUGGGAUGGGACUGCGGCCUAUCAGCUUGUUGGUGAGGUAAUGGCCCACCAAGGCGAUUACAGGUACGGGCUCUGAGAGGAGAAGCCCGGAGAUGGGUACUGAGACACGGACCCAGGCCCUAUGGGGCGCAGCAGGCGAGAAACCUUAGCAAUGUGCGAAAGCACGACUGGGUCAGUCCGAGUGAUUCCUGAUAAAGGAGUCUUUUGCCUGUCCUAAAAGCACAGGUGAAUAAGGGGUGGGCAAGUCUGGUGUCAGCCGCCGCGGUAAUACCAGCACCUCGAGUGGUCAGGACGUUUAUUGGGCCUAAAGCAUCCGUAGCCGGCUUUGCAAGUCUUCGGUUAAAUCCACCUGCUCAACAGAUGGGCCGCUGGAGAUACUACAGAGCUAGGGAGUGGGAGAGGCAGACGGUAUUCAGUGGGUAGGGGUAAAAUCCUCUGAUCCAUUGAGGACCACCAGUGGCGAAGGCGGUCUGCCAGAACACGUUCGACGGUGAGGGAUGAAAGCUGGGGGAGCAAACCGGAUUAGAUACCCGGGUAGUCCCAGCUGUAAACGAUGCAAACUCGGUGAUGCAUUGGCUUAUGGCCAAUGCAGUGCCGCAGGGAAGCCGUUAAGUUUGCCGCCUGGGAAGUACGGACGCAAGUCUGAAACUUAAAGGAAUUGGCGGGGGAGCA